rnacentral:rRNA from 1 species
UUUAAUUCGACGCAACGCGAAGAACCUUACCUGGGCUAGAAUGCCUCUGACCGGCGUAGAGAUACGCCUUCCUGGGUAAAACCAGGCAGAGUGCAAGGUGCUGCAUGGCUGUCGUCAGCUCGUGUCGCGAGAUGUUGGGUUAAGUCCCGCAACGAGCGCAACCCUUAUCAAUAGUUGCCAGCGGUUCGGCCGGGCACUCUAUUGAGACUGCCGUUGACAAAACGGAGGAAGGUGGGGAUGACGUCAAGUCCUCAUGGCCUUUAUGUCCAGGGCUACACACGUGCUACAAUGGCGAGUACAAAGCGCUGCAAACCUGCAAAGGGGAGCCAAUCGCAAAAAGCUCGUCUCAGUUCGGAUUGGAGUCUGCAACUCGACUCCAUGAAGCUGGAAUCGCUAGUAAUCGCAGAUCAGCAUGCUG